ACAGGAAUAAAUAAUUGAAGCUGUUUUUAGAUGUAUAUUGACAUUGUUAACGUUAGUUACUUAUUUAUCCAGUUUUAUUUAGCUAACGUUAUCUAACUUAGCUAGCUAACUGUUAUUGUAGCUGCUUUAUGUUUAUCUAGCUAGCUAACUGUUAUUGUACUAAGUAGUAGCUGCUUUCUGUUUGUAUGUACUAGAGCUUGCACUUUAAUGGCGUCCCUUAUUGAACCCAUGACAGAGAUUUUCUUUUAUCUUUCCAACCAGGCAAAGUACUAUGAGGCACCACUGAUCUCACUGAUGUGAUGUAAAUGUAAUGAUCUCGACAAGAGGCGCAACAUUCGUAGGGGGGCAGAGAAAUUCACAAUUCAGGGUGUCCCUAGGUGACAGAGAGACCCAUACAGAAAGAGAGAGAGGAAGAAAGUGACAGAGGGAGAGAGAGAUGGAGAGCGAGAGAAACAGAAAGAGAAAGACAGCAGUGCACAUUUACUUAGACUUUAGUAUUUCAACUGUUAUCUUCCAACUUGUUAGGCAAUCACAUGUACCUACCGGGGAAGGAUGGCCAGCCACACAGGAGGGUGCAGCAUCCAGAAGUAGGAGGCCUCCUCGUGGUGGGCGGCAUCGCCAUGCUGUCAGCAGUACCAACACUGGCCCAGGGGUUUGUACAGACAGUCAAUCUGAAGGCUAACCACUGGGUCACGGUAAGUAACCUUCGGUGCCAGGUAGGAACUGUUAAGGUGUAUGACUCCAGUGGUCAUGACACCACCCCAGAGUUUCUCUCACAACUCACCUCUCUCUUAUCUUUUCCAGGGAUCUCUGUGACUGUGGAGUGGCUGGCAGUCCACGGCAGAAAGGGGGCACAGAUUGUGGGCUGUUUGCUUAAGCAAACAGUCAUACUCUCUGCAGAGAUGAGGAACCCUCCAUGACACGAUACCAUCAGAAAUCCGUGAGAAAACAUAUUUUCUCUUGUUUUCAGGCAGGGCACCUGGCACCAUUUCCCCGUCCCGAUUCCAGUCUCCAUCCUGGGUCCAGGCCUCCCAAGGUGUCCACACCCAACACAACAGAGACAUUGGCUGUGAAGUUGGGUAGGGGGCAGUAUUUUGACGUCCGGAUGAAAGGCGUUCCCAAAUUAAACUGCCUGCUACUCAGGCUCAGAAGACGAAAUGUUGCAUCUAGCGACAUCUGAUUGCCCAACAAGCUGCCUGCUCAUCCCAUCCAUCUCAUUACGUCAUAUACAGCUACUGUUAUUGUCAUGUUUUCAUUAUCUGCUAAUAAAGUUCGCUAGCCGUAUCAUAC